AACGAACGCUGGCGGCAUGCCUAACACAUGCAAGUCGAACGAUACCUUCGGGUCUAGUGGCGCACGGGUGCGUAACGCGUGGGAACCUGCCCUUAGGUUCGGAAUAACUCCCCGAAAGGGGUGCUAAUACCGGAUAAUGUCUUCGGACCAAAGAUUUAUCGCCUUUGGAUGGGCCCGCGUUGGAUUAGCUAGUUGGUAGGGUAAAAGCCUACCAAGGCGACGAUCCAUAGCUGGUCUGAGAGGAUGAUCAGCCACACUGGGACUGAGACACGGCCCAGACUCCUACGGGAGGCAGCAGUGGGGAAUAUUGGACAAUGGGCGAAAGCCUGAUCCAGCGAUGCCGCGUGAGUGAUGAAGGCCUUAGAGUUGUAAAGCUCUUUUACCCGGGAUGAUAAUGACAGUACCGGGAGAAUAAGCGCCGGCUAACUCCGUG
rnacentral:rRNA from 1 species